GUCAAGGCAUGGGUGGGUGGUGGGUGGAUGGGUGACUACUGGUUCCAUACACGUUUUUUAAUUGUUACCUAUUGUUGAUUAUUGUUACUGAACUAGAAUAAGAGUUGAUUAUGAACGAAUUCAAAGACUAUAAAUAAUCCUAAGAUCCUUCCUCGGUGAUGAGACACUGUGCCGACUCUGGGCCACGACAACCCAGCGACUUCUGCAUUUGACAAGUUGGUUCCCACGCUCCAAGAAGGGGGGGGAGAGGUUUUAUUGGGGUCUUGGUGUCUUGCCGACUGUCUGGGACAUUCUGCCAACUAGCUGCCAGCAUGCCGUGCUAACCCUCACGACUCCAGACUCCCGUCACGACGUCGGCGCAGCAUUCGGCAACAGUCUCAAGACCUCUUUCAAGACAUGCCCGACCCUUUCACAUCAACACCCAAGACCUCGUGUACCCUAGAGUCGUGGGUAGUCGUGGCCCAGAGUCGGCACAGUGUGAACGGGGCUUAUGAUUAUAUAAAAAAGGAGGAAGGAAAGAGGCGGCGAAAGAGAAAUAAAGGAGAAAUGUAAAGAGGGAGGGGGACAAAGAAUGGUGGAAGGAAGCGAUCUCCUUCCGUCUCUCUAUGCCUCUCCUCCUUUCUUCCUUUCAUCCAAAUACGCAGCUUCCCUCUUCAAAAGUCCACCGUGUCAUCGUUCUCUUGGCUGGCUGCUUCUUCCUCAUUCCUUCUCGCAAUCUCCCCCUUUAAUCCCCCCUUCUCUGCAUUAGGUGUCAAUUCUUUGCUCUUUUUUGUUACGUAACCAUUUUUUGUGCUCACCUUUCCGUCACCCUUUUCCUCUUCUACUCGAUUUCAAGUUUGCCACAGCUCGCCGAGUAAUUUUUGAAUGUGAAAAAUCAUCUUUACUGCUGUCAGGUCAGAGACCCUACGGGGUGUGCCCAGCGUAUUAUGGAGGUGAUUAUCAUUGCAAUGGAGGCACACACUUCAUGUACUUUCUCUACUCACCAUGUCAAAACGCCCUGGUUUAAUCAUGUUUGUUCACAAAAGGUAACUGAACCUUCGAGUUCCUGUUAAUCAUACACUUUUUAUUUCUGCAGAAAUCGAGCCAAAUUUAUUCUUCGACUUACUAAAAACUCUUUCAUCAACAGAAAAUGUCAAAACCUUGCCAGCUUCAAUUUCUCUAAAGACUUCUGGUAUCUAGUUAAAAUAUCUUCAUGAAAUUUGCUUUUUCAUCCUUCGUCACGAGCCUGGCCGCCCAUCUCGCCCGGUGAGACGGGGAGAAGUGGGCGCUGCCUCUCAGCCGCUGCUCCAAGGUUCCUCCUUUCUCCUCCUUCGUCUGAGGAACGCAAUGAGGGAAACAACAAAUGCCCCAAAUUAUUUAUUAAGAGGAAUAACACAAAAGACCGGGUUUUCAGUUACAAAACAUUAUGUUAUUACAACGAUUUUCAUGUGAAUUCAAUCGACGACCAGAGAAAAGGGCGAUGCCAAAGAAUGUUUCACGGAAAGGAUGACCUUGGUACCGAGCAGGAGUGGAGUGCUUUGCUUGCUCUCUCUUUCCUGUCUUCCUAAACCGCUCUGCGUGCGAUAGAUUUGAGCAGAUCAUUUUUUAUAUAAUUCUAUUUUGCACAUAAAGGAUAUAUAAUGAUAAAAAAUUAUGAAAAAAACGGAAUAACGUGAGAAUAAUAACACGAAGGGCAAAGAAUAAAUAAUCUUAAUAAAAUAUUACAACACAAAUAAAACUUUGACAAACGACACGCAACGAGGCAAUCAUGACUAAAAUAUAUACGUGAAAAACAAGAGAGAAAACUACAAACAAAACAAAAGCAAAAACAACAACAACAACAAAAAAAACAAACAAACAAGAAACUGAAACAAGUAGUUAAAGACAUUAAAAGGUAUGAAUAACAAAACCCUAAUGUAUAAUAAUAAUAAUAAUAAUAAUAAUAAUAAUAAUAAUAAUAAUAAUAAUAAUAAUAAUAAUAAUAAUAGUAAGAUAUAAUAAUAAUAAUAAUAAUAAUAAUAAUAAUAAUAAUAAUAAUAAUAAUAAUAAUAACAACAACAACAACAACAACAACAACAACAACAUGAUGGUGAAAAUAAUAAAUCACAGUGACAUCAAGAAAAAGACGAAAUUUAAUAAUACAUUGGCCUUUAGAGUCAGGGUGGCAGCCAGGGAAGGAAAGGAGACAAAUAAUAGUAUCGUGACUUGCUCGAACACGCGUGACACGACUCUGAGGAUAAAUAUCAAAUGAAAUGACAAAGUGGCGUGACGGAGGACACGUGAUAAAUGAAUGAUUCAACGUGGCACAACUUGGGCCAGCAAGAGUCCUAACGUGACUUUUCAACUCCAAUAAAAGCUUGGCCCUUCCAGCUCCCCGAACAAUGAUAUGGGUGCGUCGUAUUAGUCUUUCGCCCGCUGUUAUAAGAAGGUUUAGGGUGCGGUUAAGUUGCGUAUGGAGGUGCUCGACGUGGGUUACUACUAAGUCUAUAUACACCAAGUGAAGUCAUACGUAGGUUUGUGG